rnacentral:rRNA from 1 species
CCUACGGGCGGCAGCAGUGGGGAAUAUUGCACAAUGGGGGAAACCCUGAUGCAGCGACGCCGCGUGAGUGAAGAAGUAUUUCGGUACGUAAAGCUCUAUCAGCAGGGAAGAAAAUGACGGUACCUGACUAAGAAGCCCCGGCUAACUACGUGCCAGCAGCCGCGGUAAUACGUAGGGGGCAAGCGUUAUCCGGAUUUACUGGGUGUAAAGGGAGCGUAGACGGCAGCGCAAGUCUGGAGUGAAAUCCCAUGGCUGAACCAGGGAACUGCUUUGGAAACUGUGCAGCUAGAGUGCAGGAGAGGUAAGCGGAAUUCCUAGUGUAGCGGUGAAAUGCGUAGAUAUUAGGAGGAACACCAGUGGCGAAGGCGGCUUACUGGACUGUAACUGACGUUGAGGCUCGAAAGCGUGGGGAGCAAACAGGAUUAGAUACCCUGGUAGUC